rnacentral:tRNA from 1 species
GCUCGUGUGGCGGAAUCGGCAGACGCAACGGACUUAAAAUCCGUCGGGGUAGUUCCCGUACCGGUUCAAGUCCGGUCACGAGCACCA